GGGAAGAGGCGAUACGAAGGGACAGCACAGGGCACCUCUUGCCCCGCGCCACACGUUGCCUCUGAUGUCCCCUCCGUUCUUUUCAUCCAUUUGUCUGACCAGGUUUGUGUGAUCAUGGCUGCUUACGAUGAUGUUUGGGAUGAAUUCGACCUCUGGGAUCAAUGGGAGGAGCUGGAGGAGAUGGAUGCCCCAAGAGUUGUCGUCCGUAGACCUCGAAGGAUUGUCACAGAUCGGAUGAAUCC